rnacentral:rRNA from 1 species
AGUGAACGCUGGCGGCGGGCCUAAUACAUGCAAGUCGAGCGGACGCACAGUAAGCGUUCGCCCUUAAGGGUGGCGGGUGACGGGUGGGUAAGGCGUAGAUAGGCUUCCUAUUAUACGGGGGGAAUUUCGUGAAGACACAUCUGAUACCAGCGAAUAUGAUCUACGGCAGGAAUCAGGAGAUAUAGACGGUUUGGCUGUCACUUAGAGAUGGAGCCGGGCUGCAUUAGCUAGUUGGUAAGGUAACGGCUCACCAAGGCAACGAUGCGUAGCCGACCUGAGAGGAUGAUCAGCCACACUGGAACUGAGACACGGUCCAGACUCCUACGGGAGGCAGCAGUAGGGAAUCUUCGGCAAUGGGCGCAAGCCUGAUGGAGCCAUGCCGCGUGAGUGAUGAAGGUCUUCGGAUUGUAAAACUCUGUUAUUGGGAAAGAAAAGCUGUGUGAGUAACCCUCGACAUCCUGACGGUACCCAAAGAGUAAGCACCGGCUAACUACGUG